rnacentral:rRNA from 1 species
AGCAGGCGCGUAAAUUGCCCGAAUCCUGACACAGGGAGGUAGUGACAAGAAAUAACGAUACAGGGCUACAUCUAGUCUUGUAAUUGGAAUGAGUACAAUUUACAUCUCUUAACGAUGAUCAAUUGGAGGGCAAGUCUGGUGCCAGCAGCCGCGGUAAUUCCAGCUCCAAUAGCGUAUAUCAAAGUUGUUGCAGUUAGAACGCUCGUAGUCGGAUUUCGGGGCGUUCCGACCGGUCUGCCGAUGGGUAUGCACUGGCCGGAGUGUCCUUUUUGCCGGAGGCCGUGCCUACUCUUAACUGAGCGGGGGCGGGAGACGGCACUUUUACUUUGAAAAAAUCAGAGUGUUUCAAGCAGGCAGCUCGCUCUUGCAUGGAUUAGCAUGGGAUAAUGAAAUAGGACUUUGGUGCUAUUUCGUUGGUUUCGAACACCGAAGUAAUGAUGAGAAGGGACAGUCAGGGGCACUCGUAUUCCGCAGAGAGAGGUGAAAUUCUCAGACCAAUGGAGGACGAACCACUGCGAAAGCAUUUGCCAGGGAUGUUUUCACUGAUCAAGAACGAAAGUUAGGGGAUCGAAGACGAUCAGAUGCCGUCGUAGUCUUAACCAUAAACCAUGCCGACUAGGGAUUGGAGGGUGUUCUAUUCGACCCCUUCAGCACCUUACGGGAAACUAAAGUCUUUGGGUUCCGGGGGGAGUAUGGUCGCAAGGCUGAAACUUAAAGGAAUUGACGGAAGGGCACCACCAGGAGUGGAGCCUGCGGCUUAAUUUGACUCAACACGGGGAAACUUACCAGGUCCAGACAUUGUUAGGAUUGACAGAUUGAGAGCUCUUUCUUGAUUCGAUGGGUGGUGGUGCAUGGCCGUUCUUAGUUGGUGGAGUGAUUUGUCUGGUUAAUUCCGUUAACGAACGAGACCUUAACCCGCUAAAUAGUGGCACUUACUCUUUGUAGGUGGUUAUCUUCUUAGAGGGACAACUUGUUUUCAUCAAGUGGAAGUUUGAGGCAAUAACAGGUCUGUGAUGCCCUUAGAUGUUUCUGGGCCGCACGCGCGCUACACUGAUGCACUCAACGAGUCUCCACCUUGACCGAGAGGUCCGGGAAACCUUCGAACUUGCAUCGUGAUGGGGAUAGAUUAUUGCAACUAUUAAUCUUCAACGAGGAAUACCUAGUAGGCGCAUGUCAUCAGCGCGCGUUGA